CCUACGGGAGGCAGCAGUGAGGAAUAUUGGUCAAUGGACGAGAGUCUGAACCAGCCAAGUAGCGUGAAGGAUGACUGCCCUAUGGGUUGUAAACUUCUUUUAUAUGGGAAUAAAAUGUUCCACGUGUGGGAUAUUGUAUGUACCAUAUGAAUAAGGAACGGCUAACUCCGUGCCAGCAGCCGCGGUAAUACGGAGGAUACGAGCGUUAUCCGGAUUUGUUGGGUUUAAAGGGAGCGUAGGUGGAUUGUUAAGUCAGUUGUGAAAGUUUGCGGCUCAACCGUAAGAUUGCAGUUGAAACUGGCAGUCUUGAGUGCAGUAGAGGUGUGCGGAAUUCGUGGUGUAGCGGUGAAAUGCUUAGAUAUCACGAAGAACUCCGAUUGCGAAGGCAGCGCACUGGACUGCAACUGACACUGAGGCUCGAAAGUGUGGGUAGCAAACAGGAUUAGAUACCCGAGUAGUC
rnacentral:rRNA from 1 species